rnacentral:rRNA from 1 species
GACGAACGCGGGCGGCGUGCCUAUACAUGCAAGUCGAACGAGAGCGACCGGUGCUUGCACUGGUCAAUCUAGUGGCGAACGGGUGAGUAACACGUGGGUAACCUGCCCAUCAGAGGGGGAUAACAUCCGGAAACGGAUGCUAAAACCGCAUAGGUCUUCGAACCGCAUGGUUUGAAGAGGAAGAGAGGCGCAAGCUUCUGCUGAUGGAUGGACCCGCGGUGCAUUAGCUAGUUGGUGAGGUAACGGCUCACCAAGGCCGUGAUGCAUAGCCGACCUGAGAGGGUGAUCGGCCACAUUGGGACUGAGACACGGCCCAAACUCCUACGGGAGGCAGCAGUAGGGAAUCUUCCGCAAUGGACGCAAGUCUGACGGAGCAACGCCGCGUGAGUGAAGAAGGUUUUCGGAUCGUAAAACUCUGUUGUUAGAGAAGAACAAGUGCUAGAGUAACUGUUAGCGCCUUGACGGUAUCUAACCAGAAAGCCACGGCUAACUACGUGCCAGCAGCCGCGGUAAUACGUAGGUGGCAAGCGUUGUCCGGAUUUAUUGGGCGUAAAGCGAGCGCAGGCGGUUCCUUAAGUCUGAUGUGAAAGCCCCCGGCUCAACCGGGGAGGGUCAUUGGAAACUGGGGAACUUGAGUGCAGAAGAGGAGAGUGGAAUUCCAUGUGUAGCGGUGAAAUGCGUAGAUAUAUGGAGGAACACCAGUGGCGGAGGCGACUCUCUGGUCUGUAACUGACGCUGAGGCUCGAAAGCGUGGGUAGCAAACAGG